rnacentral:rRNA from 1 species
ACGCUGACAGAAUGCUUAACACAUGCAAGUCUUUGGCGAAGCUGUGCUUGCACAGCCUAGCCAAGGCGGACGGGUGAGUAACGCGUAAGGAACUUGCCCUGCAGUCAGGGAUAACAGACGGAAACGACUGAUAAGACCUGGUAAAGUCAGGCGGACUCAUGUCCAGCCUGAUGAAAAGAGAUGCUGCAGGAGAGCCUUGCGUCCUAUUAGCUUGUUGGUGGGGUAACGGCCCACCAAGGCGAUGAUAGGUAGCCGGCCUGAGAGGGUGGACGGCCACAAGGGGACUGAGAUACGGCCCUUACUCCUACGGGAGGCAGCAGUGGGGAAUAUUGGACAAUGGGGGCAACCCUGAUCUAGCAGUUCUGUGUGCACGAUGAAGGUUUUCGGAUUGUAAAGUGCUUUCAGCAGGGAAGAAAAAAAUGACGGUACCUGCAGAAGAAGCGACGGCUAAAUACGUGCCAGCAGCCGCGGUAAUACGUAUGUCGCAAGCGUUAUCCGGAAUUAUUGGGCAUAAAGGGCAUCUAGGCGGCCAGAUAAGUCUGGGGUGAAAACUUGCGGCUCAACCGCAAGCCUGCCCUGGAAACUAUGUGGCUAGAGUACUGGAGAGGUGGACGGAACUGCACGAGUAGAGGUGAAAUUCUUACAUAUCUGCAGGAAUGCCGAUGGUGAAGAUAGUUCACUGGACGGUAACUGACGCUGAAGUGCGAAAGCUAGGGGAGCAAACAGGAUUAGAUACCCUGGUAGUCCUAGCUGUAAACGAUGAUUACUGGGUGUGGGCAUGAAGAGUGUCCGUGCCGAAGCUAAUGCGAUAAGUAAUCCGCCUGGGGAGUACGGCCGCAAGGCUGAAACUCAAAGGAAUAGACGGGGACCCGCACAAGCGGUGGAGCAUGUGGUUUAAUUCGACGCAACG